CUUAAUUGCACCAUAAGCCCAUGAAACACUAGUGAAAAAAGGACAGUUUUGAAUCGGACCAUGAGAAGGGUUAGAAGGGCCACAUUGGUGUAGAUCUUGCAGGCAUAAUAUGUACAAAUUAAAAUACAUAGCUGGCAGAUUUCUUUUCUCAUCAUCAUGAACAUUCUUUUUUGUGUCUGGAAAUUUUUUGCAGACUUUUAUUUGAGAACCAUUUCUGAUUAACGUAAAGCUGGCUGCCAGAGUUUUAGUGCCUGCCAACCUGCUACAAACUAAGCAAACAGAAAUCAUCUGCUGGGUAGUGACUUACUGAAAGGAAAUGAACAUUCCUUCUCACUGCAAGAGUCAGGUCCAGAGGAGACACUGGGGAGAAACAGCUUGUUCUGUAUUACUGUCCAUCUACUAUGUAACAGCCUAUGGAUGUGUCUCAAAGAAGCAAGUAAAGCUCGGAGUGUUUCUCUAAGCAGGUUCAAUCUGCAAAACAGCAUCUGCCCUGUGACCUUAAAAGUGGUUUUGAAGUAAAGAAGAUGAAUCAGUUUCUAAGAAACUGCUGGAAAUGCUGCUGUUUCUGAACCUGGAUGUCCUGCUCACCCUCAUGCUGGCCUUUUUGAACUGGGACCGACUCAGAAGUCAAACAGAAAGCUGGGUGAAAAGUGGCCUAGUGGCUGAAUAAAAACUUCUCUUGAGUGGUGGACGGCCCAUACAGCAAUACGUUACAAAUGUAUAAGGCGAGCAACCUGCAGGGAACUUCAACAGACAUUCAACAAACCAGACAUUUUUGUGGGUUACAAAGUUACAAGAUGAGCCCUGCAUGCCAUGUGUUGACAGCUUAUAGAUACCACAUUUGGUUCUUGGCCAAAAUAGCAAAGGUCAGUGUGGAAAUUUCAGCUUCCUAUUUAAAAAAAUAGAUCUCGAAUUCCAAAUC